rnacentral:rRNA from 1 species
AAAUUGAAGAGUUUGAUCAUGGCUCAGAUUGAACGCUGGCGGCAGGCCUAACACAUGCAAGUCGAACGGUAACAGGAAGCAGCUUGCUGUUUCGCUGACGAGUGGCGGACGGGUGAGUAAUGUCUGGGAAACUGCCUGAUGGAGGGGGAUAACUACUGGAAACGGUAGCUAAUACCGCAUAACGUCGCAAGACCAAAGAGGGGGACCUUCGGGCCUCUUGCCAUCGGAUGUGCCCAGAUGGGAUUAGCUUGUUGGUGGGGUAACGGCUCACCAAGGCGACGAUCCCUAGCUGGUCUGAGAGGAUGACCAGCCACACUGGAACUGAGACACGGUCCAGACUCCUACGGGAGGCAGCAGUGGGGAAUAUUGCACAAUGGGCGCAAGCCUGAUGCAGCCAUGCCGCGUGUAUGAAGAAGGCCUUCGGGUUGUAAAGUACUUUCAGCGGGGAGGAAGGGAGUAAAGUUAAUACCU